rnacentral:misc_RNA from 1 species
UUAACUAUUAUAUAGUACUCAGACAUCACUAAAAACAAGAGUUGUGGUCCUCUGGCAGGCACUCAGGAGCCGAAGCCCCUGGCACGAGUGCGGCCUGCCAAAGCAACGGAGGUAUGUUAUUCAAGGGUGGAGAUCUACCCGUGAGGGCAUGAUACUCUGUAAUGAUCCUUCCGCAGGUUCACCUACGGAAA